rnacentral:rRNA from 1 species
GAUGAACGCUAGCGGGAGGCUUAACACAUGCAAGUCGAGCGACAGCACGGACUUCGGUCUGGUGGCGAGCGGCGCACGGGUGCGUAACGCGUAUGCAACCUGCCUUAUACAGGGGGAUAGCCCAUGGAAACGUGGAUUAAUACCCCAUAACAUCAUGAAUUCGCAUGGAUUUAUGAUUAAAAUUCCGAUGGUAUAAGAUGGGCAUGCGUCUGAUUAGCUAGUUGGUGAGGUAACGGCUCACCAAGGCGACGAUCAGCAGGGGUUCUGAGAGGAUUCUCCCCCACACUGGUACUGAGACACGGACCAGACUCCGACGGGAGGCAGCAGUGAGGAAUAUUGGUCAAUGGGCGAGAGCCUGAACCAGCCAUCCCGCGUGCAGGAUGACGGCCCUAUGGGUUGUAAACUGCUUUUCUACGCCAAGAAACGGCCCUACGUGUAGGGCACUGACGGUAGCGUAGGAAUAAGCAUCGGCUAACUCCGUGCCAGCAGCCGCAGUAACAC